GGCCCCUUGGCCAAGUGGUAAGGCAGCGGAUUGCAAAUCCGCUAUUCCCCGGUUCGAAUCCGGGAGGGGCCUCUA
rnacentral:tRNA from 1 species